UUNNNNGNGGGAGACUAACAGGAUUCCCUGAGUAACGGCGAGUGAAACGGGAAAAGCCCAGCGUGUAAUCGCCUAGGUUCUACCUAUGGUGAGGUGUCACGUAUAGGCGUGUCUGUCUGGUUUUCGUUGAGGUCCGAAGUUCGCUCGAACGCGACUUCCCAUAGUGGGUGCUAGGCCCGUAAGGAUCUCGACUUGGCCAGUUGGGCGCGUCUUGGAGUAGAGUUGCUUGGAAGUGCAGCUCAAAGUGGGUGGUAUACCACAUCUAAGGCUAAAUAUGACCAAGACUUCGAUAGCGAACAAGUACUGUGAAGGAAAGUUGCAAAGAACUUUGAAGAGAGAGUUCAAGAGAAUGUGAAACCACAAGGGGCUAAGCGGAUAGAGUUGACGAAACUGGCAGUGUUCAGCGUUCGCGAUCGGGCUUCGGCUCGUGGCCGGGCGUGCAUUCAUUGUCGGUACGUGCUGGGACGUUUGGCAGGCUCUUCUGAAGGCUUCAGAGUGGCCCAGGCUUGCCUGGUAGUCUUCUGUUGUCGGAAGUUGAUAUGCUUGCUAAUCGUAAAGUUGACCAGGCCUCUGCGCGGUCAGUUGCUGGGUAGUUCUCUGCUUGGUAGUCGGACAUGUCUGGCUGCCUCGUGCGAGGGCUGGUUAGUGGCUGCUCGCCUAUGGUUCAAUCCCGGUAUGGAAAGUCGACCACCAAANNUNA
rnacentral:rRNA from 1 species